rnacentral:other from 1 species
ACGGUUAUAAAUCAACAUAUUGAUUUAUAAGCAUGGAAAUCCCCUGAGUGAAACAACGAAUUGCUGUGUGUAGUCUUUGCCCAUCUCCCAC